rnacentral:rRNA from 1 species
GAUGAACGCUGGCGGCGUGCUUAACACAUGCAAGUCGAACGAUGAAGCCCAGCUUGCUGGGUGGAUUAGUGGCGAACGGGUGAGUAACACGUGAGUAACCUGCCCUUAACUCUGGGAUAAGCCUGGGAAACUGGGUCUAAUACCGGAUAGGAGCGUCCACCGCAUGGUGGGUGUUGGAAAGAUUUAUCGGUUUUGGAUGGACUCGCGGCCUAUCAGCUUGUUGGUGAGGUAAAGGCUCACCAAGGCGACGACGGGUAGCCGGCCUGAGAGGGUGACCGGCCACACUGGGACUGAGACACGGCCCAGACUCCUACGGGAGGCAGCAGUGGGGAAUAUUGCACAAUGGGCGCAAGCCUGAUGCAGCGACGCCGCGUGAGGGAUGACGGCCUUCGGGUUGUAAACCUCUUUCAGUAGGGAAGAAGCGAAAGUGACGGUACCUGCAGAAGAAGCACCGGCUAACUACGUG